ACCACCAUGCUAGCUCAAUUAUGACCUAAUAAUAUAAACUACAAAAUAAAACAUUCUUAUACUUUAGUAUGGGCGACAGAAAAACAAUAAUGAAGCGAUAGAAAAAGUACCGUAAGGGAACGUUGAAAUAGAACUUAAAUAAACCAUAAAAGUAUUAAAAAGCAAGGAUUAACACCCGUACCUUUUGCAUUAUGAUCUAGCUAGUAAAUACAAGGCAAAAAGAUCUUUAAGUCUCCUACCCCGAAACUAGACGAGCUAUUUAAAAGCAACCUUGACAUAGGGUUAAUCCGUCUCUGUGGCAAAAGAGUGGAAAGACUUUUAAAUAGAGAUGAUAUAUCAAACGAGCCUAGUGAUAGCUGGUUACUCAAGAAAUGAGUUUAAGCUCCUCCUUAAAUCUUAUUUUAAUAAACAUCAAUAAUAAUAAAAACUUAAGAGAAAUUCAUAAGGGGUACAGCCCUUAUGAAAAAGAAUACAACCUACAACAAUGGGUAAUGAUUAAAUUACUUUAAAGUACUGGUCCAAGUAAGCCUAAAAGCAGCUACCUAUCAAGAAAGCGUUAUAGCUCGAACCAAAACAUAAACAACAACCCCAAUACUAACCUCAAAACCCAUCAAACCCAAUGAGUCCGCCUAUAACACUAUAGCAAAAUUUAUGCUAGAACUAGUAAUAAGAAACUUCGAUUUUCUCCAUGCAUCCAUGUAAAUCAGCACGAACUAAUCACUGAUAUUUAUCAACACAGUUCACCCAAACAAUUACACUAGACAUUCAACCUCAAUUUUCUGUUAACCCAACACAGGAAUGCACCAAAGAAAGACAAAAAAGUAAAGAAGGAACUCGGCAACUACAAGCUUCGCCUGUUUACCAAAAACAUCACCUCUAGCAAACUAGACAUGUAUUAGAGGCACUGCCUGCCCAGUGAUUUUAUUCAACGGCCGCGGUAUUCUGACCGUGCAAAGGUAGCAUAAUCACUUGUCCUUUAAAUAAGGACUAGUAUGAACGGCAUCACGAAAGCCUAACUGUCUCCUUUACUUAGUCAAUGAAACUGAUCUCCCCGUACAAAAGCGGGGAUACAAUAACAAGACGAGAAGACCCUAUGGAACUUAAAACACACAACCACUUUAAUAAAACAUAUUAAAAUAACUGGACAUAUUGUUUUUGGUUGGGGCGACCGCGGAGAAAACCUAACCUCCGAGAAACACUACUAAGAUAAACACAACAAAGUACAAAAAACUUUGAACUACAUGACCCAAUAAAUUUGAUCAACGAACCAAGCUACCCUAGGGAUAACAGCGCAAUCUUCUCCAAGAGUCCCUAUCACCAAGAAGGUUUACGACCUCGAUGUUGGAUCAGGAUAUCCUGACAGUGCAGCCGCCGUCAAAGGUUUGUUUGUUCAACAAUUAAAAUCCUACGUGAUCUGAGUUCAGACCGGAGCAAUCCAGGUCAGUUUCUAUCUAUUAAAUACUUCAUUUAGUACGAAAGGACCAAUGAAAUGGGACCAAUAUACAAUACACGUCCCCUAGCAACUUAUGCAACCAACUUAAUACGAUAUUACCACACACCCCUAAAACAGGGGUUUG
rnacentral:rRNA from 1 species